GAUGAACGCUGGCGGCGUGCUUAACACAUGCAAGUCGAACGGUGAAGCAGGAGCUUGCUCUUGUGGAUCAGUGGCGAACGGGUGAGUAACACGUGAGCAACCUGCCCCUGACUCUGGGAUAAGCGCUGGAAACGGCGUCCAAUACUGGAUAUGUGAUGUGACCGCAUGGUCUGCAUCUGGAAAGAAUUUCGGUUGGGGAUGGGCUCGCGGCCUAUCAGCUUGUUGGUGAGGUAAUGGCUCACCAAGGCGUCGACGGGUAGCCGGCCUGAGAGGGUGACCGGGCACGCUGGGACUGAGACACGGCCCAGACGCCUACGGGAGGCAGCAGUGGGGAAAAUUGCACAAUGGGCGGAAGCCUGAUGCAGCAACGCCGCGUGAGGGAUGACGGCCUUCGGGUUGUAAACCUCUUUUAGCAGGGAAGAAGCGAAAGUGACGGUACCUGCAGAAAAAGCACCGGCUAACUACGUGCCAGCCGCCGCCGUAA
rnacentral:rRNA from 1 species